rnacentral:rRNA from 1 species
CUAGUUGGCGGGGUAAUGGCCCACCAAGGCGACGACGGGUAGCUGGUCUGAGAGGAUGGCCAGCCACAUUGGGACUGAGAGACGGCCCAGACUCCUACGGGAGGCAGCAGUGGGGAAUCUUGCGCAAUGGCCGAAAGGCUGACGCAGCGACGCCGCGUGUGGGAGGAAGCUCUUCGGGGUGUAAACCACUGUUGCCCGGGACGAAACUCUCCUUUGGAGGAGAUUGACGGUACCGGGUGAGGAAGCACCGGCUAACUCUGUGCCAGCAGCCGCGGUAAUACAGAGGGUGCGAGCGUUGUCCGGAAUCACUGGGCGUAAAGGGCGCGUAGGCGGCUCAGUAAGGUUGCGGUGAAAGCCCGGGGCUCAACCCCGGGUCGGCCGUGGCAACUGCUGGGCUGGAGCACUGUAGAGGCAGGUGGAAUUCCGGGUGUAGCGGUGGAAUGCGUAGAGAUCCGGAAGAACACCGGUGGCGAAGGCGGCCUGCUGGGCAGUAGCUGACGCUGAUGCGCGACAGCGUGGGGAGCAAACAGGAUUAGAUACCCUGGUAGUCCACGCCGUAAACGAUGGGCACUAGGUGCUUGGGGGAGCGACCCUCCGAGUGCCGGCGCUAACGCAUUAAGUGCCCCGCCUGGGGAGUACGGCCGCAAGGCUGAAACUCAAAGGAAUUGACG